UACGGAGGGGGCUAGCGUUGUUCGGAAUUACUGGGCGUAAAGAGCGUGUAGGCGGCCAUACAGGUCAGCUGUGAAAACUCGAGGCUCAACCUCGAGACGUCGGUUGAAACCGUAUGGCUAGAGUCCGGAAGAGGAGAGUGGAAUUCCCGGUGUAGCGGUGAAAUGCGCAGAUAUCGGGAAGAACACCCGUGGCGAAGGCGGCUCUCUGGGACGGUACUGACGCUGAGACGCGAAAGCGUGGGGAGCAAACGGG
rnacentral:rRNA from 1 species